UCGUGAUAAGAAGGAUCUUGGAAUCAUGAUCGCCGGUUGAUUGUUCUGCUCUGGUUGGAAGUUAAAACCUAUCAUGAUACGACGAUAACAGGCUGACAAAAAGGCAUACUGUCAUGUUAAUUAUUCAUGGUGUACCGAGUGGAGCGCGAAGUAACACCCCCUGUCUGCAAACCUGAAAUCACUCCUAUUUGCAGCGAAGUCACACAGAAGGUCCACAGUGGGAACAUAGAAUUUCUAUAAUACUUUAGAUGUCACUUUUAGUUAUUCCUGUUGUUUGGAAGGUUGUCGUCUGCUAUUUAAUGUUGGAGCAACAUUUGAAAAAAGCGUGAAAAUUCAAGAUGUUUGUUUGAUGGUGCUGAGAUUUAAAUGAUGAUGCUUUACGAUGUUUAAAUAUUCCUCUUCUAAAGAUAAAUCCAGUUGGGAGAGAAUUGGUUGUAUUAAUUACUUAAUCGUCCUGAUCACAGAUAAUUAUCUACAUCCAGAAUAAUUUCCAAGAGAAAUGUUUGUGAAGUCGUCAAAUUGCAGGAGUUGUCAACAGUUCCACAAAAAGAUUUUUUCUGGAAGGAGACCUGCCAUGUUUUUACACAGGAAACUUACUACUAACUCCACAGAUUGGAAAAAAAAAGUCUAAAGCAAGAUGAUCUUUGACAUUGAAAUACAGAGAAGCAAAAGGUUUAAUUUACCGAAAUUUAGAAGUAAACUUUUGGUACAAAAUUUAAAUAUUUUAGGCUUAAUUUAAAGAUACACUCCCACUUAAAGAUACAUUCCCACUUGAAGAUUUUAGGCUAAAUUAAUGUUAAUCUGGCGUUCAUGACUUGGUGCUUUAAGUUUCUGUUAUCCUAACAGAUGGCAGGAGAACUCACACAGUUUUUGUGGGAAGGCAUCUUUAAUCUGGGGUUCAUGACUUUGUGUUAAGUUUCUGUCAUAACUGUUGUCAUUAAAAUUCAAAAGUAAGUUCUUAUGUAAAUGGCAGCCGUCUGAGCCAUGACAUGUUUCUCAAGCCGGUUGUACGUGAUAAGGAGUAGGGUCGCCUGUCCAACCUCGUGGGUUUUCUCCGGGUCCUCCGGUUUCCUCCCACUGCUAAAGACCCCUACACGCAAGCGAAUUAUUGAAAUAAAAUUAAAAACAUAUGUUAGUCCUGAAAUGACCUAGUUUGUGUCGAGUGGACGUUAAACCCAAUUUCUCUCUCUCUCUCGUUUCUCAAGCACCCAUGUCACACUUCAUGAAAUUCCAUCUCGCACACCCAGGGAGCUCAGCCACCCCACGCUUGAAACGCCUGAUGUGUAUUCUCUUGAUAACAAAUUUCUUGAUUGAUAGAAAAGAAAAAUCUCUACUGCAAAUAUGCCAGACUUUGAAAAUAUCCCCCAAAAAUUAUAUGAUUGAAUUAUAUAACUUUGGUUUUGAACGAUCAUUUAAUCUUUUUUCCAAAUAGUAUUUAGAAAGAUUCGUGGGGAUAGAUUCGUGUUAACAUAAAACUGGGAUUGGAUUUGAAAGAGGGUUUAUUGUGAAAAGCAUUUUCUACAACAAAACAUGGCUGAUCAAUAGACUAGGAUUGGUUUUCAUCCAUGGUAUUGAUAUUAAAAUAUUAAGGAUAUACAAAAGAAAUUAUUAUGUUUUUAAGACAACCCUUCCAAAAAAUCUGAUGCAGGAGUCAGAUUUUGUUUUUGUGUUUUUAUUUUGUCAUAGCGCGUGUGCUUUGUUUCAUAAGGUUUCGAUUUCCCGGUUGGGUUUUCUCUCGGUCCUCCGGUUUCCUCCUCCCACUGCUAAAGACCCCUAUACGCAAGCCAGUAAUUGAACCAAAUGUUAGUCCCGAAAUGACCUAGUUUACAUCUCAUGACCAUGACGAAAUCUGCAGGUGGCCUUAAUAUUUAGACCUGACCUGUUAUAGUCAGCAUAUAUAAUGUUGAAUAUGAUUCAUGCAACCUAUUUUUAGCAUUCAUUCAUUCAUUCAUUAUAUCAGAAAUGAAUUAUUAGAUAACAGACAGGAAAUUGAUUGAAUAUAAAUUUUUAUAUAUUGUUGUAUGGUCUGAUUGAAACCAUGAAUGAAUAGAUAAAAGUAGGUUGGGCCACAUGCAUUUGAAUUUCUGAUCUUCGAAAUCACCUGUUAAAUAUUUUCCUUCUUUUUUUGACCAAAAAAGACUAAUUUAAUACCAAAGGACUUUUUUUGUGCUGUUAAAAAGCUUCUGUUUCUAAAUUUCUAGGCUUUGAAAUUUUAAACAAAAGGUACCUGGAAAUAAGGGAACUGUCACAGACAAUGUCAGGCACAGAUUCAGGCUUUGUCAGGCACUAAACCUCUGGUGCCUGUCAUUUUGCCUUUUUUAUUGAUAUUAUUAAUACAUGUCUGGCACUAAGUUGAAAAUGUCGGGUACAAUGUACAUUUUGUCAGGUACAUCUAAAACCGUUAUUUCCAGGCCUGAACAAAACAUCUUUCAAGUGGUCUAUUUAUUUAUCAAGAUGCAGAAGAAUAGAAAAUCAAAUGGGUGUGGCCUAAUGCUGACUAGACAUUUAUGUAUUUUUGUAUUUGAUUAUGUUCUUACCAUAUUCUAUCAAAUGAGUGCCCGUCACCCCAUGUAUUAUGUUCUUACCAUAUUCUAUCAAAUGAGUGCCCGUCACCCCAUGUAUUAUGUUCUUACCAUAUUCUAGCAAAUGAGUGCCCGUCACCCCAUGUAUUAUGUUCUUAUCAUAUUCUACCAAAUGAGUGCCCGUCACCCCAUGUAUUAUGUUUUUACCAUAUUCUACCAAAUGAGUGCCCGUCACCCCAUGUAUUAUGUUCUUACCAUAUUCUAGCAAAUGAGUGCCCGUCACCCCAUGUAUUAUGUUCUUACCAUAUUCUACUAAAUGAGUGCCCGUCGCCCCAUGCAUUAUGUUUUUACCAUAUUCUACCAAAUGAACGCACUUAAUGUCUUGAAAUUGAUGAAAUUUAAC